AUUUAGGCCUAGGCCAUGACCAUUUUGGGCACAAUAGCCUAAUUUUAGGAAUCCAUCUAUUGCAAACUACAGUCACUUCUGGAAAUAAACCUGAAUAGCUGGUCAGCAUGUGAAAUGUUGGUUUUGACAUCUGUUAAGGGACUGAAUGGUCCCAAUUUGCCUUAGGUCAGUUGUCCUUUAAUCUCAAGACUGGUUACUACUGGUUUUAUUAAAUUAGAGUCUUUAAUUCUUGCAUGUUUGUAUCUAGUUUUUAAAAGAAAGAAUGAGCACAUUUUUAACCAAUGAUUUAUGGCUACCCUUUUAUGUAUUUUCAUUUAGAUUUAUUUUUAAGGGUUCUGAGCAUGAGGCUGGCGGGUAAUCUCUUUAUAGGAUUCAUUUUUUCAUAAUGGCUGCCUGACUUUUUCAUAGAUUUAUAACAGCAUUUUGUUAUCUUGCUUCCCUGCAGUUUAACUUUGUGAGGGAAAGGGAGUAAAGAGAAGUAAACUUGAAAACACAUUUUCCUUCAUAGAGCUCCACCAGUGUGAGCUUUGAAUGAGUCUUAAAGCAUUGUACUUAGUGACUUCCAACCAGGACCUAUGAGUGUGCACUGAAUGGGUGAGAAGGGAAGGAAGGUUGCCUCUUUAUUUUUUAGGGUAGAAAGAAUAUCUGUGUUGGAAAGCUGGAACCAAGUUUGCAUUUUUGAGGACUAAGAUGAAGAAGGGAAGCUCCUUACUAGAUAUUAAUGCAUCUGAAUGUUACCCAAUUUUCUUGAAUAUAUCUUUAACACUAGUGGACAAUUCUAGUAUUUUAUCUGGAGGGUUUCAGGAUUGCCCUCAUAUGGAAUCAGGACUUUUAGCAAGUUUGCUUUUGGUUUUAUCUUGGCUUUUAAUAAUCACUUUGGCUGGUCUUUUGGUCACAGGUGUUAACUGUGAAACAGAUGCCCAGGUAUAAACUUUUCAUCACUCUUAAGAUCAUAAAGUACUACUAUUCCAUGAUUAUGAAUAUUUAUUAGGGUUGGAAUGACAUGUCAUUGAUUGUUUCGAUCACAGCUCAGUUCCUGUAGAAAAUGAACUGUAAAACUAUCUGAAGACCAUGCAAGAGGCAAAAUAAAACUUGAAGUGAACGAGUGUGUUGUACUCCAUGAACCUACUUUCCGUAUGCUCCCUACCCUUUUUCAUGCCUCACCAACAAGCAAGUUAUGCUUCAGCACAACUGUUCUUAGAGUGGCUCUUAAGUCAGCCCUCACCUACACUUUCAUUACCAGUAAAGGACUUCCAGACUUGCAAGGCAAAAGCUAAGAGGAGGAGACUAUAGAUGUUAGUCUCAUGACCUACCCUCUUUGCCAUAGUUUAACCCUGGUGUGAAUAGGGCUUCCAGUUUGUGACUGCCAUCUAAUAGGAUAAGAAGAAACACAGUUUGCCUGAUUCUUUAGUCAAAAGAUGAAAGAUGGAAAAAUGGCCUAUGACAGAAAAUAUAAGGCAGAUGGAUGUACCUGGGCUGGUUUGAAAGUUAAAAAAAACCUGGGGGGUUGCCAGGACUAACAGUUGAGUACCACAUGUUAACUAGUUGCUCUACCAGCACGUGCUAGCAUCAAAUCAGCUAAAGCUUAAUGACAAGUUGUGGGUCAUUAGACCAGGAAGCAUGGCUAAAAAAGGUUUAAGCUCAGAGGACAGAAGAGUUUCGGUGGAAAUUCUUAAGAGUUGGAAGUCUUCCUUAAGGCUCCCGGUCUCUUGGAACAAAGACAAGUCUGAGCUCAUUUCCUUUGCUUUUACAAGGAGCAGUCCUAAAUCCGAUGCUGUAUGCUGUUGUGCUGUUUGCUGGGGAGGAGUGGGUAAGAUUUACAAAUUUAUAUCUACUGCGUGCUUACCCUGGGGUUGGAAGAGUGGGAAAUAACACUAUGUCUAGAUAAGGGGGUGUGGGGAGCUGUAGAAAAUGGACGCCCUCGUGAUCGUGGAAAUGAGCAAGGACAUUAACAUUAAUCUUAAAUCCAUUGCUCUGUGCUGUUAUCCCUUUCUGCAGUCUUGACAGGUUUGAGCUGCUGGGCGGAAAAAACGCUAAGACCCUUGGUGCUUUUCCCCUGUCUGUACUGAGCGUCUCCUUUAAAGGGCGGGGCCGGAACUGGCCUAGGGUUCCUCGCUUUGUACGUGUCGGGGGCGGAGUUUAGAGACCGCCUUUGCAGCAUGGCCGUCGGUACUGCUGCCGCCUUAGCGUUUUUCAGUCAGGAAAGCCGAGUCCGAGCCGAGGGCGUCGGGGGUCUGCGGGUCCCGGCCCCAGUCACUAUGGACAGUUUUUUCUUCGGCUGUGAGCUUUCCGGCCAUACCCGCUCUUUCACCUUCAAAGUAGAGGAGGAUGAUGCGGAGCACGUGCUGUCAUUGACCAUGCUCUGCCUCACUGAGGGGGCCAAAGACGAGUGUAAUGUGGUAGAAGUUGUGGCCCGGAACCAUGACCACCAGGAGAUUGCAGUGCCUGUGGCCAACCUCAAGUUGUCCUGCCAGCCCAUGCUCAGCCUAGAUGACUUCCAGCUCCAACCACCUGUAACAUUCCGCCUGAAGUCAGGCUCUGGUCCUGUGCGGAUCACUGGGCGGCAUCAGAUUGGUGAGAGGAGGGGUGGGCCCUCUUCUUUGCCUCCAGUGGACUCUCAUCAGGUCCCCCCUCCACUCCACACUUCUGCCCCAUCCCAGUCUCAUCUCCCAGCUCAGCCCCAAUGCAAACCUGCAUGCCCUCCUGUGCUGUGCCCUGUACUUUCUGUCCUACUCAAGCCUACCUCCUUCAUGGAACCUGUCCCAGUUUCUCCAGCUACAGUGAUGUGGACUCUUUUAAGCUCUCUCUUGCCCAGUUUAGUGCCUGAGGUUCUUCCCACCUAGACUAUAAGCUUUGGGAGACCAGAGUUCCUGCAAGACUGUCACCAUAGACCGUAAGUAAGUGUGGUGUGAAAGGGGCCACCUCCCCCUACUUCCUUGUGUGUCCAUCAGUUACUAUAAGCAAUGAUAUUUCUGAGGAAGAGGAGAGUGAAGAGGAGGCUGAGUUGUGUCCCAUCCUUCCUGCCAAAAAGCACAGGGGCAAGCCCUAGCACUCCUUGGUCAGCCAGCUGCCUGCUACCUGCGCCAUGCACCAUGUUCCUGGACAAGUUUCAAGAAUUUUAAAGUGUUUCUUCUUCACUUGAAGAGAGUUUGGGGUGGGGUUUGGUUUGAGGGACUUGAGCCUGAGCUAGGAAAGGGGCCUGUUCUCCAUAGGGACCUGGUAUUCUGGUUGUGUGCCAUGCCAGGGGCUUCCCUUUUCUCUAGGGGUGGGAGGAAUUCUGAACUUUUAUCCUGAUCAUCCCUCCCUUCCCACCUGCCUAUGAGAAUUGGAGGUUAGUGUCUGGAGGUCAGAACUACAUGUUUUUAGCACUUUUUACAUAUUUGGAUGAAGGUUGAAAUAAAGUGCUGUG